rnacentral:rRNA from 1 species
AAAUGCGUAGAGAUCUGGAGGAAUACCGGUGGCGAAGGCGGCCCCCUGGACGAAGACUGACGCUCAGGUGCGAAAGCGUGGGGAGCAAACAGGAUUAGAUACCCUGGUAGUCCACGCCGUAAACGAUGUCGACUUGGAGGUUGUGCCCUUGAGGCGUGGCUUCCGGAGCUAACGCGUUAAGUCGACCGCCUGGGGAGUACGGCCGCAAGGUUAAAACUCAAAUGAAUUGACGGGGGCCCGCACAAGCGGUGGAGCAUGUGGUUUAAUUCGAUGCAACGCGAAGAACCUUACCUGGUCUUGACAUCCACAGAACUUUCCAGAGAUGGAU